rnacentral:rRNA from 1 species
UACGUAGGGGGCAAGCGUUGUCCGGAUUUAUUGGGCGUAAAGAGCGUGUAGGCGGUCAGGUAGGUCCGUUGUGAAAACUCGAGGCUCAACCUCGAGACGCCGAUGGAAACCAUCUGACUAGAGUCCGGAAGAGGAGAGUGGAAUUCCUGGUGUAGCGGUGAAAUUCGUAGAUAUCGGGAGGAACACCAGUGGCGAAGGCGGCGACCUGGGCCAAUAUUGACGCUGAGGUGCGAAAGCGUGGGGAGCAAACAGG